rnacentral:rRNA from 1 species
AACGAACGCUGGCGGCAGGCUUAACACAUGCAAGUCGAGCGCCCCGCCAGGGGAGCGGCCGACGGGUGAGUAACGCGUGGGAACGUACCUUUUGGUUCGGAACAACUCCGGGAAACUGGAGCUAAUACCGGAUAAGCCCUAACGGGGAAAGAUUUAUCGCCGAAAGAUCGGCCCGCGUCUGAUUAGCUAGUUGGUGAGGUAACGGCUCACCAAGGCGACGAUCAGUAGCUGGUCUGAGAGGAUGAUCAGCCACACUGGGACUGAGACACGGCCCAGACUCCUACGGGAAGCAGCAGUGGGGAAUAUUGGACAAUGGGCGCAAGCCUGAUCCAGCCAUGCCGCGUGAGUGAUGAAGGCCUUAGGGUUGUAAAGCUCUUUUGUCCGGGAAGAUAAUGACUGUACCGGAAGAAUAGGCCCCGGCUAACUUCGUG